AUUGAACUCUGGCGGCAUGCUUUACACAUGCAAGUCGAACGGCAUCGCGGGCUUCGGCCUGGCGGCGCGUGGCGAACGGGUGAGUAAUGCAUCGGAACGUGCCCAGUAGUGGGGGAUGGCCCGGCGAAAGCCGGAUUAAUACCGCAUACGACCUGAGGGUGAAAGCGGGGGACCGAAAGGCCUCGCGCUAUUGGAGCGGCCGAUGUCGGCUUAGCUAGUUGGUGGGGUAAAGGCUUACCAAGGCGACGAUCCGUAGCUGGUCUGAGAGGACGACCAGCCACACUGGGACUGAGACACGGCCCAGACUCCUACGGGAGGCAGCAGAGGGGAAUAUUGGACAAUGGGGGCAACCCUGAUCCAGCCAUGCCGCGUGCGGGAAGAAGGCCUUCGGGUUGUAAACCGCUUUUGUUCGGGAAGAAAUCCUCUGGGCUAAUACCCCGGGGGGAUGACGGUACCGGAAGAAUAAGCACCGGCUAACUACGUG
rnacentral:rRNA from 1 species